AUUAUAGAGAGGGGUUCGGUGAUUUUCUUUUCUGUAUCAUUCUGAAUAUUUCAAAUCUUAUAGAUUUUGAGUGGAGAAGGCUUAAGUAUAACAUGGAAGAUAGAUUUAAAAUCACAUCUGUCUCAAACGCGCAUGUACGCCUCAUCCGAUUUCAUUAACUAGGUGCAUAUAUAGAAUGAAUAUGAAACAAUUUUUUUUUCUAUUUCACUGCGAACUUUUUAUUUUUAAUUGUUUAUAACUAACGAUAUUUAAUGACACGUGUCAAUGACAUGACACAAAAAUUAUAAGAAACAGGUGAUUGACAUUCUGAAAAGAACAAUAGCCCACAACUUUCCUUGGCAACAACAUAAAUAUAUUUUGGGCGUUGGCUAUUUUUAAAUCAAGCCAGCUCAUUAUUAAAAAAAAAACACAGACGUAAAUCAUAAUGAACGGCAUAUCGUCUCCACCACGUAGUGUUUGUAUAUGAAACCAAACCCAUCUGAAUGAUAAUUAAUCAUAUAUAUUAAGUAACUUAUUUUCGUCGCCAUACAUAUCAAGAAGGCUGCUUCCUCCUAUUUUUUUUCUGAGGUGAUGAUGGUUCCGGUGAGAUAACUUCCACACCUCCCCUUUACAACCAUUUCCGAUGUGCAUGAUGUGGGUCGAAACAAAUCGAUUCACCUCCAUAUCAAGAUCAGCGUAUACCGUCAACACCAGAUAGUAAUUGCCUUGUAAUACAAAUGUCCGUGGCACGAAUCAAGACGGAAGCUGGAUGAAACGCCUGAAAGCCAUGAUAUUUCCACAGUAGAAAGUAUGUCGAAGGCAUGCAGACGAUUAUUAUCGAACUCUAUUGCAGUUCCGCCGAAGUUUAGCGCCAUCACUUAUUGGGCAAUUUCGUGCGCAGCCGCAGUGAGUUCCUAAAGCAAUAGUGGGCUAGCUUCGUGUGGUGCGACGCUGGUAUUUCAUUCACGCAACUCUGGGAAAAAGGAACCACAUGAACAUCGGUCGCCUACGCCAACUUUUAUUAAUUUUUGACGUAUAUAUUUUCACCAUUUUUGAGAGCUCAUAUCUUUUUGGAAUAGAUAAUGGUGAUUUCAACAUUACUCAGCUCGUUUUUCUUACAUUAUUCUCAGCAACAAAUUUCAUUUGCCUAGUCACUGCAGAGGGGAUAAUGAGUUUCAACUGAAAAUACUUCGGAAUUCGAAAUUACAUCGGAAAUUCAUCUUGAUUUUCAUCUUGUGGUUUAAAGAGGAAAAAUAUAUCAUCAAUAGAGGGCGAAUCCAGCAUUAUAAAACUGACAAGGAAGGUAAUCCUCAUCAUUAUUCUGGAUAUAACAAGAUGAUGCUUUCCAAGCUAAUCACAAGCUUCUUGUGACAUCCAUCAACUGAAAAGAUCUUUUUUCUUCCUUGAAAGUUUUUCUCGCAUCACCGUCAUCAUUCCUCCACCGGGUCGGGACACGGUGGGUCGGCCAAGUGACCGAAGUGGGAUUCUAGGGGAGUGGCUCCUGAGAACUCAGUGGACCUCUUCCAAAGUCAGGCUCCAUAUCUUCAAAGGAUUCAUCCGAAGGAAGAUGGAAAACACAAGAAUAUGUCUAGCGGGAAUAACAAUAUCAGUGAUCUUGCUUAGUAGUGUGGUACUCAACGGUGGUUGUAGUCUGGCGUAUGGGUUGUCCCCAGCCGUUUCAUCAACUAGAAGGAGAGACAAUGAUGUACAAACAGUAUUGGACUUAAUGGAUUUUGCUCAGGAGGAGAAAGAGAGGCAUUUACACGAAGAAUACGCAGACCAAAUACACAAUCACCAAAGAGAGAAAAGAUUCCCAAGAAUACCAAUGGGUGAGACGUGUAAAACAAGGAGAGACUGUUCACAUUCACAUUGUUGCGCCAAGAAGUUCGGUAGACAAGUUUGUAGAAUGAGACCGCUAUUAGGCCAGACGUGUCGACCCAAUGCUCAAUCACCAAAUGCCUAUGAAAUGUUCACCUCGUGCCCUUGUGCUCCUGGUCUAAGAUGCUGGAAAAGAAAAGGAAAGAACAUUGGGGUGUGUGUAUAGUGAAGAGCCCCACCCUGCUCCCUUUACCCCUUUUCUUCACGUGACUGUCCUCUUGUGUCGUUUUAUCAUUUUUCAAUAUUGUACUUGUUUGGAGAGACGCUCUUACGAAAAGAAUUUUUUAAAUGGAGAAAAAAUGAUAUCGGAAAUGCAACAGGACCAAUAGCUGGCUCAACGCGGAAGGAUAUUUAAAGAGUUUAUAAGUUAAGUGAAGAAAGAAGUGACUUGCAUUUGUGGAUGAUGAUAGUAAAGACUGUGAUAUUAUCUCCACUUACCACGUUUCGACAAGUUCCAAUCCACUCUGUCAUCGCCUUAUCGAACUUCAUUCAACGCAUUAGCUAGGAGUUGUCUUCCCCACGCAAUUCUACAACUCUUUGAGAUUGACUACAGCUAAACUACGGCAAAACUCAACUUACCCUUGUCAAAAAGCACUAUUGUUGCUCUCUACCCAUGAUUUAUUAUUUAUUAGAUGUCAGAGGCAAAUAUAUGCAGUACCUGAGGUGUCGGAAGGGGUCAUUGUUGACUUAAUGAAACUGGGACGUCUUCAUCAAAGUGUGCUAUUACUUUUCUAAAUUAUCUUCGAAUGACACUGAAAAAACGACAUUAUAUUUUGAUAACACAGAUUGUAUCAUUAAUAAAUAUGUAUGUAACAUGAUGUAUUUACUUACCAUGGGAUAUACGAAGUGCUCGAUUGAUCAUAAUUGCACUGACCAUCGAGCUUAUGGAUUUUGGGCUAUGGGUUCUAGACACUUUAUCACUAAUAUCAGUUUGAUCUCGAGUUAUCUACAAGUUUUAAAUAGAUCUAUUUUCAGGGUCUGAUAGACAAAAAGGCAUUUACAGGCUUUACUAAGUUCUGUGGUUAACUUUAUUCGACAAUUUUGGUUUUCUUGAGAAGAACAAAAUGCGGUUUUAGAGGGGGUUUUUGUAUAGAAUAGUUAAUGGCUUUGACUAAUUGCUGCAUCUGGCCGCAAGCUUUAUCCCUACAUUAUCGUGUUUCAUUCUCUUCAUUCAUCGUGAUCCGGUUAACUAAAUUCACUAAUCUUUUAGGAAAGAAUACUUUACUAAAUGAAACUUCAAAAUAUUAAUCCAACGGUAUAGUAUUGAAAGGUCUUUCUAUUUUUCGAACGAUAACUUAAAUGAUGACUGUAUUCAUUAGGGCUUACUAGAAUUUGUUGUACGGUAUUCAAAUAUAUUUCUUCUGAGUUCUAUAAGAUAUAAUGUUCACCAAACGUAUUCAUCUAGUUUAUGCCAACGUUAUCAUGGUAAUUGUGGUUUUUAAACAAAUAUUUUUUUGUAACUGUGUAUUCUAAAUAUGAAGGCCUCCGCACACCUUACGACUGAUCCACGAUCCGAUCUUGGAACUAAAUUGCAUUUUUUUUUCUAAAAAUGUGAAUAAAAGAUAUCUUUUUAUUUGAGAUUCAAGUUAACUGUAAAAAUAAAUAUUGGAUGGUUUCAAGCCUUUAUUUUAGAGUAGAAGCCAAAUUGGUUUAAACCGUAGCAAACUGUAUGAUUGUCAUCAUCACUUCAUUACAACUAUAUAAUAAAUUUGCUUUUAUUCUAAUAAGGAUGGUAUAUAGUUGCAUAUUCAAAGAUAAGUAUUCGUAUAACGAGUUAGAACUUUAAACGGUAGGAUAUUCCAUGGCUUAGUAUUCGCAUCAAAUUUCACUACUUUUUUUUUCCAAAAUCGGGUCGCAGAACAAUCUUAACAGCCCAAAUUCACAAAGGUGGUAAACCACCUUUGUGAAUUCUGGCCAUAGUGUGCAGUGGUCUACUGAUGGCUGAAAUCUGAUCGGCGGAUGUCAAAUAAUUCACUUAAAAACCUUGGUUUAUAACAUUCAUUUCUAUAUAUACCUUAUGAGACACAUUUAGAAGUAUUGAAGUAUAAUUUAUUGAUAUUUUAUCAGCUUGGUAUUCUGUAGUAUUCAGAGAUGAACAUGAUACACAUGAUAAAUACUAGAUCAAUAAACCUGAUUUCCUGAAGAACGACUAAGUCGUAAUAAUCAUAUCUGAUUGAUAUAAAUUACUGUUAUUACGUGGCAUCGUCAUAUCAGCGAAGAUUUUCCACUUUUCAUGAUUUUCUUUUAAAAAUUCCCACAUUUAAUUAAUAUUUAUAUGGUCACAAUCUAGGAAAAAGGAUUAAGUAUAGAAGUUAAUACCUUUAAUUAUUCAUACGUCCCUCUUACUACCAAUAUUGAUAUUGGAAUUUAAAUCAAUGAUUUAAGGACGAAAUCCGCACGAAACUGACAUUUUUGCAUUCUUGCCUACGUUUGAUAAUUUUUAUUCUGUGUAUCUGCACUAGUUUGUCUUUCUAUCCCAGUUCUCUCCCUCCUACCUCAUUCCAACUUUGAUUCGAGCUGGCAAGAUUUUCGUGCAGUAAGAUAGAUGCCAAACUGAUUAAAUUCGAACCGCCACCAAGGCGACUAGUUCAAAGAUGAGUGUCAGAAAGCAGGAUGUAUGCAAAGUUUCAAAUUGAUAUGAGUGGAUUUUGACAAUAAAAGGAACAGCACAAGUAGGUAAUUAAUUCUUGGCUUGGUUUUGUCGUAGACGUUUCUCUACCUAGUUAUAUUAAUUUUUUAUAUCCUUCCGUUUUGGGCCAGUUGUAUCAUUUUUUGGGUGUAAUAUUUUCGUUCGCCGUAUUUGAUAUGGCAUAUUUCAGCAGUUGUUAAUAUUUAUUUGCGAGUCAAAAUUAUUUAUGGUACAUAUAUAUUACUCAGUAUUGUAAGUUAUUAUGGAAUAUGAUGUUGUAAAAGAAUAU
rnacentral:lncRNA from 1 species